rnacentral:rRNA from 1 species
UACGUAGGGUGCGAGCGUUGUUCGGAAUUACUGGGCGUAAAGCGCGUGUAGGCGGCUCGCUAAGUCUGGUGUGAAAUCCCUGGGCUCAACCCAGGAAUUGCAUCGGAAACUGGUGGGCUUGAGUUCGGGAGAGGGUAGCGGAAUUCCUGGUGUAGAGGUGAAAUUCGUAGAUAUCAGGAGGAACACCGGUGGCGAAGGCGGCUACCUGGACCGAGACUGACGCUGAGACGCGAAAGCGUGGGGAGCAAACAGGAUUAGAUACCCUGGUAGUCCACGCUGUAAACGAUGAGCGCUAGGUGUUGCGGGUAUUGACCCCUGCAGUGCCGCAGGUAACCCAUUAAGCGCUCCGCCUGGGGAGUACGGCCGCAAGGCUAAA